CAGUAGCCACGGUAAUACGUAGGUCCCGAGCGUUGUCCGGAUUUAUUGGGCGUAAAGGGAGCGCAGGCGGUCAGGAAAGUCUGGAGUAAAAGGCUAUGGCUCAACCAUAGUGUGCUCUGGAAACUGUCUGACUUGAGUGCAGAAGGGGAGAGUGGAAUUCCAUGUGUAGCGGUGAAAUGCAUAGAUAUAUGGAGGAACACCAGUGGCGAAAGCGGCUCUCUGGUCUGUCACUGACGCUGAGGCUCGAAAGCGUGGGUAGCGAACAGGAUUAGAUACCCCCGUAGUCCCUGUCUCUUAUACA
rnacentral:rRNA from 1 species